CGGAGGCACGGGAGCGUUUCCUAGGCAACCGUGCCGCGGCCUCGUGACGCACGGCGCCAUCUCUCCCAAGUGGCUAGGGCUGCCUACCUGGGGCUGUGGGUUUGCGGGACCCACCAUUCAGGAGAAAGUGUAAACCGUUCUGAAGUCGGGACCGUGACUGGCUGACACCUUAGAUUGUCUCUGUGUCGUCUGCAUUGAUAUGCAGGCUCCUUGUCCUUAUGGACUUCGCAGGUGGUCUGCUUGGCCCUCCAGUUAAAGGUCAGGGCUGUCGGGAACAUUAGACCCACCUGGCCACUCCUUCGCUUGGCAGAAGAAGGAAACCCGAGGCCCAGGGAGUCCCAGGCGUCCUGGGCCUUCUCACUCCCGGCUCCCCGAAGCUUUCCCCUUGACCCAGGGGUGCCCGCAACACUGUAUCUCACACACGGCUAUGCACUUGGGUCCGAAGCCCCUUGAACAAUGGGCCACCGGAUUAAUUGGAGCCAGGGAGUUGCUGCUGCUGCUCUUUGCUGGCCCCUGUGACUUCAGUCAAUGACGAUCUGGAUGUUCGUGGACCUGUCAGGUUUGUUUCUGCUGUGCCACGGCGGGAACUCCUGGUGUUCUCUCUAGUUGCUGCAAGUAGCAAGUGCUUCCCUCUCCCUCUCUGACUUGACUCGUGUCUUGGCUUGGCUUGAUGUCUUGGCUUGAUACCCACGAAGAGGUAAACCCAGGUUUGAGGUAAUAGGGGGCGUUUAAAAUGGAUACAUAGCCCACUCUUGGGCAUCUAUCCGGACAAAACUCUACUUAAAAGAGACACGUGCACCUGCAUGCUCAUUGCAGCACAUUCACAAUAGCCAGGACAUGGAAACAAUCCAAAUGUCCAUCGACAGAUGAUUGGAUUCGGAAGAUGUGGUAUAUAUACACAAUGGAAUACUACUCAGCCAUAAAAAAGAAUGACAUUAUGCCAUUUGCAGCAACAUGG
rnacentral:lncRNA from 9 species